rnacentral:rRNA from 1 species
AUUGAACGCUGGCGGCAGGCCUAACACAUGCAAGUCGAGCGGAGCGGCGGACGGGUGAGUAAUGCCAAGGCAUCUGCCUGGUAGUGGGGGAUAACGUACAGAAACGGGCGAUAAUACCGCAUACUAUCAGAUGAGGCUAGGUCGGAUUAACUAGUUGGUGGGGUAAAGGCCUCCCAAGGCGACGAUCCGUAACUGGUCUGAGAGGAUGAUCAGUCACACUGGAACUGAGACACGGUCCAGAGUCCGACGGGAGGCAGCAGUGGGGAAUAUUGGACAAUGGUCGAAAGCCUGAUCCAGCCAUGCCGCGUGUGUGAAGAAGGUCUUCGGAUUGUAAAGCACUUUAAGUUGGGAGGCGUUACCUACAGAAUAAGCACCGGCUAACUUCGUGCCAGCCGCCGCGGUAAUAC